GAACGAACGCUGGCGGCGUGGAUUAGGCAUGCAAGUCGAACGGGAUCCAGUGCACUCAAGUAGCAAUAUGAGAGUGCAUUGGUGAGAGUGGCGUAAGGGUGAGUAAUGCGUGGGUAAUCUACCUCUUAGUUGGGCAUAGCCCUGCGAAAGCGGGGAUAAUUCCGAAUGUGGUCGCACCGGACAUCCGGUGCCAUCCAAAGCCGGGGACCGCAAGGCCUGGCGCUGAGAGAUGAGCCCCACGUCCUAUCAGCUUGUUGGUGAGGUAACGGCUCACCAAGGCUUACGGGUAGCUGGUCUGGAGAGGACGAUC
rnacentral:rRNA from 1 species